AUAGACGUUCGAGCAGUUUGAGUUCGGGCCAAAUACGCACAGCCCUGUUCCAUUUGAGCUUGCCUAUAGAGGGUGCUCAAUGCAACAGGAUGGGCAAACUUAAAUCAUAAAACAUAAUUAUGCUAUGAAGGGCUAUAAAAGAAGUGGAAAAUGUGGAAUCGUUCUCUUUUGUAACUGUGAUCCAAGAACGAAAUAGUAGUGCGCGCGUGUUUAAGUUGUAAAAGGAUCUGUUCGAUGUUAUCCGUUAAAAUAAUUAUUGUUACAUGUUAAAUAGUACGGAAUUGUGUUAGUUGAAAAUCAUUAAGAACGUUAAAACCCCAUUCAACACACCACGAAGAAAUAACGACAGUGACAAACAAAUAUAAACCAAUUAUAGAAAAAGGUAAAUAUCGUACGAACAAAACAGAAUUUAGAGGUUAGGAAGUGACGUCGCAGGGUGCUAAUCCGUUGUGUCCAGGUCCACGACGAAGGGACCUUUUUCUGUUGUGUUUAUUCACAGUUUUCGACAGUGCAGUGCCGCGGUGGAAGUGCCCGUUGAUCCGGCCUUGAUCCCGCUAUUUUGGAUGCCGGAGAUUUUCGGUCCGAAACAGUGCCGCCAUUGUUUUAGGCACGCGGGAUCAUCAUUCGCCGCAGGUUGGCCGCCAUCUUCUCGCCCAACGCCGCUUACCCGAGCCAGCACUCGUCUCGUCCGUGGAUCGUAUGUCCGGACGAAAUCAGCCCUGCGACCUGCUCCACACCGGCCAGAACCCUUCAAGUCCGCCACUCCAAACACCAAAACACCUACAAGCAUGCAAGUACCCUUAAUGUGACGUCACCAAUAAAUUGUAAAAUUGUUAACCUCAGGUGUAGCUAACUUUAAGAAAGAGCAGCCCUGAAUUCAAAAGGUCUUUUCACCAUUUUUGUUUACGUCGUCCUCCCGGGUCCACAAAGGGACCACCAAGCCUCGUCUUUCUU